UACGGGGGGGGCAAGCGUUGUUCGGAAUUACUGGGCGUAAAGGGCUUGUAGGUGGCCAACUAAGUCAGACGUGAAAUCCCUCAGCUUAACUGGGGAACUGCGUCUGAUACUGGCGAGCUUGAGUGCAGGAGAGGAACGCGGAAUUCCAGGUGUAGCGGUGAAAUGCGUAGAUAUCUGGAGGAACACCGGUGGCGAAGGCGGCGUUCUGGACUGCAACUGACACUGAGAAACGAAAGCCAGGGUAGCAAACGGG
rnacentral:rRNA from 1 species